UUUGUCCCCUACCUUAAAGUUUUUUUGACUAUUUUUGAUUAAGUACUGUUAAAGUCACAAUGUUGCUCCCAUAGACUCAAUGUAAAAAAAAAAAAAAUCCCUACCUACCUACCCUUUUUUUUUCAGCAAGUGACAGUAAACACACAUUUUUUUGUUUGGCCUAAAUAGUUUUGAUAGUGAUACACAGAAUGAGAUCAAUUGAAAAACUAUUUGGAAAUAACAGUAUUGAGCAUAUUGAGGAGGAGAACACUAUUGAGACAAAUACAAAGAACAAGAUUGCAGAAGCUGAAAUACUACCACCUUAAAGAAAGAGGGCACUUGAUAAAGUACCAGGGAAGCGUUACAGGGUGAAGUUUGUUGACACAAUUCUUGAUUUAGAUGUAACCAAGAAUAAAGAAACAAUAACCAAUAUUACAAGUUUUUACAACUUUAGAUUUGAGAGCAGUCAUUUGAGGAUGUGGCAGACAUACAAUAUUGAUGAAGGAAAGCUUGUGACUUUAAAAUCAACAAAGAAUUCUGUGCAGUUAAAAGUACUCAAUGACUGGACAGAGAUGUCUUUUAAUGACCUCAUUACUGAAGGAACAGAACAGGCUUCAAAACAACAGAAGCAAACAUUCAUUUGGCUGCAUUCAAGAGUUCAAGAACCAGAUUAGUCUUGAUCAACACUUCCUUCAAGUCAGCUGUGAAUAUAAGCUAGAGAAAGGCCCAUUAAAAGAUCAGGCAAAAGUUCUAUAUGCCCAAAAGCUGUCAAAUAAUGUACAUCAUUGUCCUGAUAUGCAAGCAGUCUUACUAGAAAAUGCAUGUACUACAGACUUGAGUGCCAAAGAAAUGUGACGGGCAUUGAAAGUGAAAAAGAAAACGAUUUUCUUUAGCAUCAAACAGAAAGAAUUCAUGACGGAUUUAUUUUAUUUAUCUUGAAAGGAUGCAAGAAGCAGCCAUAUUGGAUUCAACGACAUUAUAUUUUCCCAAUAAAUAGGCGAAAUAGAAAAAAAAAAACGCCUACCUUAAACUACUUUUAAUAGCUUAUAUCCAAAUUUGAAGCGUAAACAAAGCCCCAAAACAUACUAUGUUACAGUUUUACACUUGAAGUAUUCAUAUGACGUCAUGAUGUUGCUAUGAAGUUUAUGUGUCAAAGAAGUCAACAACAUUUUGUGGAAUUUUUAUUUUAAGCAACUAUAUGUCCAAAUAAAAAACAGAAACAAUAUCUUUAUUGACUAUUGCAUUAGAAUGGAUAUAACUGUAUUUUAUUUUAAGGUUUGUGGACGUAAAUCUAGAUUUUACUGUUGCAAUUAUUCGUUUACCUAGCUCUGCUACAGGUCGCUAGGUAAACUCAAUUUGCGACAGUAAUAUCUACGUUUUAUGUCCGUAAAUGUUAAAAUACAAUACAGUUAUCUCCUAAAUUACCUACACAUGAUUGCACCAAUAUGAGUUUAAUAUAAUGAAAUUUGCAUGUACUUAGAAGGUGUUUUACUUUAUUUUAAAUAUUUAAGUCGGACCAGCAUUUUACCCACAUUGCUUUAUAAAUAGCAAACUUUGUUGAUCUGUAUCAGUUAAAAACUAAUAUGCACAAUCAGUUCUUUCUUCCCUCUGUAUUCAAUUACAAAAUUAAAUCUUUAAAAAUGUAAAGAUACAUACUUAAUUUUAGAAAGAAAAAAAAAUUGUAAAAUUUUCAAAAUUCGGGUACCAUAGCAACCAUUUUUAUUAAAUUUCAUUAAACAAAACUAUUUUUCUGGACUGAAAAAUUUAACUGAUCAAUUUUGUUAAAUUGUAAGAAAUUUAAUGCCAUCUUUGUAUUGUUUAAAUAUGGAAAUUACUUGGAACAUUAUUUACUUGUAGAAAAAUACAAUUUACAGAAUUUGAAAAUCUUGUGUUUUUCAUUCAUUAAAAAUAUUUUUUGCAAAUAUUUGCCCAUUGAUUUUAUUUUAUAUUCUGGAAGACCUAUAUUGGUUCCUUCUAAAUAUACCUAACAUUUUACUAGGAGACGCUGCAUUCAAGAAAAAAAUUCACUUGAAUACCCUGUAUUUACGCAUUUUUCACUGAAAUCCAAAUUUGCCAUAUUAGCAUAUCUUUACUAGCUGGUAGCAAAAUAACUGAUAAUGGUAAAAGUAAAACAUAUGUGAAUUUCAAACAGCUUAAAGGUCAGUUAUAUUAUAUUAUUCAGAAAAAAAGGAUAUGUUACACAUAAAUCAAGUACUAAACAGUGCAAAAUGUUGUUUUUUCACUUUUUCAAGAGUUAAAAUAUGACCUUUUAUUGCUAAAAUCAACUUAUGUGGUUUCCAUGGCAACCAGAAUAUUCCGGAACAAUUUGUUGCCUGUUAUUGCCUUUGGGUAUGGUACUGGCUAUUAUAUAAAAGUUUCAUCAAAAUCUGAGACCAUGUGUGCCAGACCCUAUUAGAAUUUCUUUGGUGGUUACAGAGAAUUGCUCUUAAU